AACGAACGCUGGCGGCAGGCUUAACACAUGCAAGUCGAACGCUCGUAGCAAUACGGGAGUGGCGGACGGGUGAGUAACGCGUGGGAACGUGCCCUGAGGUACGGAAUAACUGAGGGAAACUUCAGCUAAUACCGUAUGAGCCCCGAGAGGGGGAAAGAUUUAUCGCCUUGGGAGCGGCCCGCGUCGGAUUAGCUAGUUGGUGGGGUAACGGCCUACCAAGGCUUUGAUCCGUAGCUGGUCUGAGAGGACGAUCAGCCACACUGGGACUGAGACACGGCCCAGACUCCUACGGGAGGCAGCAGUGGGGAAUCUUGCGCAAUGGGGGGCAACCCUGACGCAGCCAUGCCGCGUGAACGAUGAAGGCCUUAGGGGUUGUAAAGUUCUUUUACCCGUGACGAUGAUGACGGUAACGGGGGAAUAAGCUCCGGCUAACUUCGUGCCAGCAGCCGCGGUAAU
rnacentral:rRNA from 1 species